rnacentral:rRNA from 1 species
CCUACGGGAGGCAGCAGUGAGGAAUAUUGGUCAAUGGGCGCGAGCCUGAACCAGCCAAGUCGCGUGAGGGAAGACGGUCCUAUGGAUUGUAAACCUCUUUUGUCGGGGAGCAAAAGACGCCACGCGUGGCGUUCCGAGAGUACCCGAAGAAAAAGCAUCGGCUAACUCCGUGCCAGCAGCCGCGGUAAUACGGAGGAUGCGAGCGUUAUCCGGAUUUAUUGGGUUUAAAGGGUGCGCAGGCGGAAGAUCAAGUCAGCGGUAAAAUUGAGGGGCUCAACCUCUUCGAGCCGUUGAAACUGGUUGUCUUGAGUGAGCGAGAAGUAGGCGGAAUGCGUGGUGUAGCGGUGAAAUGCAUAGAGAUCACGCAGAACUCCGAUUGCGAAGGCAGCAUACCGGCGCUCAACUGACGCUCAUGCACGAAAGUGUGGGUAUCGAACAGGAUUAGAUACCCUGGUAGUC